GACGAACGCUGGCGGCGUGCUUAACACAUGCAAGUCGAACGACGUGGCGAACGGGUGAGUAACGCGUAAUCAACCUGCCCUUCAGUGGAGUACAACAGUUGGAAACGACUGCUAAUACCGCAUACUGAAGGAGGGUAUUGCGUUUGAUUAGCUAGCUGGUGGGGUAACGGCCUAACAAGGCGAUGAUCAGUAGCCGGUCCUAGAGGAUGAACGGCCAAAUUGGGAAUGGGUAAAGGCCCCGACUCCUACGGGGGGCGGCAGGGGGGAAUCUUCCGCAAUGGACGAAAGUCUGACGGAGCAACGCCGCGGGAGUGAUGACAGCCUUCGGGUUGGAAAGCUCUGUUAAUCGGGACGCGGUACCGGAAUAGAAAGCCACGGCUAACUACGUGCCAGCAGCCGCGGUAAUAC
rnacentral:rRNA from 1 species